AGAGUUUGAUCAUGGCUCAGAUUGAACGCUGGCGGCGUGCCUAACACAUGCAAGUCGAGCGGUAACAGGUGUAGCAAUACAUGCUGACGAGCGGCGAACGGGUGAGUAAUGCUUCGGAAUCUACCCAAUGGUGGGGAAUAACCAGCCGAAAGGUUGGCUAAUACCGCAUACGUCCUACGGGGGAAAGCAGGGGAUCGUAAGACCUUGCGCCGAUGGAUGAGCCGAAGCCGGAUUAGCUAGUUGGUAGGGUAACGGCCUACCAAGGCGACGAUCCGUAGCUGGUCUGAGAGGACGACCAGCCACACUGGGACUGAGACACGGCCCAGACUCCUACGGGAGGCAGCAGUGGGGAAUAUUGGACAAUGGGGGCAACCCUGAUCCAGCGACGCCGCGUGUGUGAAGAAGGCCUGCGGGUUGUAAAGCACUUUUAGUGGGGAUGAAAAGUGCAGAGUUAAUACCUCUGCAUCUUGACCUAACCCACAGAAAAAGCACCGGCUAACUCUGUGCCAGCAGCCGCGGUAAUACAGAGGGUGCAAGCGUUAAUCGGAAUUACUGGGCGUAAAGCGUGCGUAGACGGUUACAUAAGUCAGGUGUGAAAGCCCCGGGCUCAACCUGGGAAUUGCAUUUGAGACUGUGUAGCUAGGGUGCGGAAGAGGGAAGCGGAAUUUCCGGUGUAGCGGUGAAAUGCGUAGAUAUCGGAAGGAACACCAGUGGCGAAAGCGGCUUCCUGGUCCAGCACCGACGUUCAGGCACGAAAGCGUGGGGAGCAAACAGGAUUAGAUACCCUAGUAGUCC
rnacentral:rRNA from 1 species